UCAUGAUUUAUUUUCAAUGAGAGUGGCAGGUGGAACGGAGAGUGGGCGAAAUCCCAUGAAGCUGCUGUGAUGAGCGAUCGAGAGGCGGAUCGCGUGUCUGAGAGUUGUAUGCUUGGAUGACGACUGCCUGUAUCACCUGUGUCAAGACUCACCAGUGGUUAAGAGGGGUGGUUAUGUAAGUGGAACCCCCUUAAGCAAGAUUCAAGCAGCAUGUCUACAGACCGGCUACAAACUGUCUGAUCAUUAUCAUAUCAUAUUGCACACAAAAAUGGCAAGAUUUUUUUUUAUUUAAAUAAAUCAGUCUACCUGGAAACAAAGUUACGUUUACGAGGGGCCAGUAUUCUGAGGAACAGCUGCUUGCUGGACUAACCAAAGUUUGUCAGGCACAAUCAUUUAUCUUCCCUUUUGUUAUUCCUCAUUCUGCCGGAGGUUGUCAUGGAAAUCGAAGCAGACAAAGCUGCCAGACUGGGGUCCAGUGAGGGAUUGUGGGAGUCUGAGGUUGAGCUCAAAGGAAAUAAGCAUCAGCAACAUGACUGUGAGAGAUGAAUAUAAGGUUUAUUCCGGGAAUCCCUCUGAUGGCAGUCGUAAUGGGCACGGGAGAUGGUGUGAAGUUUUUUUUAAUGGACAUAUUGAUCAUGCAGCAUAAAUACAUGCAAUUAAAAAGACAA